CGCGACCUGGGACCGCACCAUUCCAGGACUCAGGUGGGCGGAGCAGAGCUCAGCUUGGGAGGAGGCGGACGCGAGUAGCUCGGCAGGGGGACUCGCUUGGCUUUCGUGCCAUCCGUGGACACAGUCGCGCGGGUCUUUGUGGGAAGAAACAAAUCACAAAAGCAAUUAAGAGAGCUCAAACAAUGGGGUUUAUGCCAGUUACAUACAAGGAUCCUGCAUAUUUCAGGGACCCUAAAGUUUAUAACAUCAGAUAUCCGGAAUAAAUUCCAUCACAUUACCACCAGUAAACUUAUUUUAUAAGAUGGGUCUCACUGUGUUGCCCAGGCUGGUCUCUAACUCCUGGCCUCAAUCAUUCCUGCCUUGUCUUCCCUAAGUGCUGGGAUUACAGCUGUGAGCCACUGUGCCUGGCCUCACUUUUCCAAUUCUAAAGAAUGUGUGUAAGCCUUUCCCUCAACAACUUAUUGAAAGGCGAAAAAAGGUUUGGAAAUAAAAGGAUCUGAUGUUUGAAAAAGUACUUUGUAAAAUAAAUGCACUAAGACUUAUCUGUGGAUUACUGCAAAGAGGUGAAUAUAGUAAAAACAAAUGAACUUACCUGUAUUACUGCAAGUAGC
rnacentral:lncRNA from 10 species